rnacentral:rRNA from 1 species
AGCGAACGCUGGCGGUAGGCCUAACACAUGCAAGUCGAGCGCCCCGCAAGGGGAGCGGCAGACGGGAGAGUAACACGUGGGAACGUACCCUUCAGUUCGGAACAACCAAGGGAAACUUUGGCUAAUACCGAAUACGUCCGUAAGGAGAAAGAUUUAUCGCUGAAGGAUCGGCCCGCGUCUGAUUAGCUAGUUGGUGGGGUAAUGGCCCACCAAGGCGACGAUCAGUAGCUGGUCUGAGAGGAUGAUCAGCCUCACUGGGACUGAGACACGGCCCAGACUCCUACGGGAGGCAGCAGUGGGGAAUAUUGGACAAUGGGCGCAAGCCUGAUCCAGCCAUGCCGCGUGGAUGAUGAAGGCCCUAGGGUUGUAAAGUCCUUUCGGCGGGGAAGAUAAUGACGGUACCCGCAGAAGAAGCCCCGGCUAACUUCGUGCCAGCAGCCGCGGUAACAC